ensembl:lncRNA
UUCCCCACAUCUGCUCAGCGAGAUUGGAUCUGCAUGUUUGACCUCAGCCCGGUAGCUUGCAUUCCCUAGGGGUUAUAUCCUUCUCUCUCUCUCUCUCUCUUUUUUUUUUCUCUCUCUCUCUCUCUCUCCAUCUUCCUGUCCUUUUCUCUUACUUUUUCCUCUUGUAGUCUUGGUCUCUCCCCAUCAUCUUUUUUUUUACCUUUCACUCUCCGCCCAUCCACCUUUGACUGACACUUUAUCAAGCCAAUGUGAAGUGAUUAUCUCCAUUUAAAUGCAAAUAUGCCUGUUCAUUUCCCUGGCUGUGUUUUUUUCUUGACCUGAGAAACACACACACACACACACACACACACACACACAAAAGUGGCACUAAUCGGUUCCCGUAAGUGAGCUCCGUCUCUCCAAGCUGGGAAGGGAUUACUCAGCGCUCAGCUAUGUCAUGAUGCAUCAUCAGAACAGCUCACAACAUGCCGGGCAGACCCCGAAGUAUGACUCAGCAAAAAAAAAAACUUCUAAAAAGACUUUCCACUAAUGCCCUGGAAGAAGGCAUUUAAAACCCCACCAUUAUCUCAACCCAGUGACUUUUACAGUGAAGUUUAUUGGGUGCUGUUUAGCAGCAUUAUUUUCAGAGAUUGAGGGAGGGAUGGGUGGCUUGGUGUGUGUGUGUGUGUGUGUGUGUGUGUGUGUGUGUGUGUGUGUGUGUAGGGAUAUGAUUGAUAAGAGGCUUCUCUGGGGGGGAUUCCCUGCUCAGUCUGGCGUCACGGUAUUCCCAAGGACCCUAAUUACUGCCGGCUGUAUACUACUCUGACUGAUGUCUUUCUUUUCCUCUUGUUUGGACUCCUUCUCAGGCUAUCCUUAAAAACAUGUUGGUUUGCUGUAACACCCAAAUUGACAUGUCUGUCCAAAAAAAUUAAUAUUCAUAUAUAUAUAUAUACACACACACACACACACACACAUGCAUUUCUGGAUAUAAAGAGCAUUUUGUAGUUUAGAAAGUAGAACAGUAACAACAAGCUUUUUCCCACACUACUUCAUUUUCGGCCAUAUUUUGAAAAUGGCAUUCUAUUGAAAAUAAAUGUAUUCCAAGACUUCACUCAAAGUUAUUUUAAUAACACAGGGCACUGUGUGCUCUAUGUAUUUAGCUUUUAAUAUAAUAGCAAAUAUCAUAUCAUACAAACAUUUUUAAGUCCUAAUCACAAUGUCCACCUGGGAGAAACUAAAAUGAUGUGAUCAUAACAUGAAACUAUACUGCCAUGACAUUCUUGAUCUUUUUCCUAAUAAUGCUCUUUGAUUGCAUCGUCAAUUCCGAGCACGACAAAAUAACACUAUAUUUCUCCAGUGGCAGCACCAAUAUUAUAGUAAUAUAAUAAGAUAUUUUAAGAUUUUUAAGAAACCAGCAACACUGUUGAUGUGUGUGUGUGUUCAUUAAGUGGCCGUAACCUCAACGUGUGAAUGCUUUAAUUUCCUUUUCCUCUUGCUUUUAAAUAAAAAAAAAUGGCGCAUGUUUUCAUCCGCUCAACCGUUGUGUGUUAUCAAUAAAUCACUGCAGGCCCCACCCAGUAGUUUCAAAUAUUACUUUAAAAUAUUUUCCUCGAUCUCAACAGAAAGUAAUAUUCUGCAAGUUGGCAGAUCAAACAACGUGGGUGAAAAUACAUUUGUUUGUGGGGUUAUGGCAGACCAACAUAAUAUGGCAACAUGGGUUAUGGCAAACCAACAUAGCCGCUCUCAGCCUUGUCACACACACACAUUCACCCUGUUCCUUCUAUCUCUGGCCUGAAGUCAAUGUUGCUGUGCUGCUGCAGUGCUGCGUUCACUGGGUGGUCUUGGCCCUGGCGGUGGGGAGGAGGUGGCUGAAUGGAGCCAUGAUGAUGUUUUUGUGUGCCACUGAAUGACUGCCUGACAGCUGGUGGUCUCAUGUAGUUGGGUAGGCAACACAGACUCUUCCUCUAUGGAAAAAUGAGAAGCUGUUUCUGUCUCUCUCUCUCACUGACAGUCAGAACACAGAACAGACUGAGUGUCUGUGAUUCAGGAAUAACAUGCUUUACCGGCGCUGAAUGAAGAGGCCACGUGUUGAAGCGUUUACUAGUGCUGCAAGCACAUGGGUGGCUAAUCCAAACAACAACAAAAGCAGGGAUUGCGUAGCAGUUGAGCUGGAAUUGUUGUUUUGCUUGCAGUUGAGCUGGAAUUGUUACUGUUUUUGUAUGGUUUAUUUGGGUUCACGCGGUCUGGUUCUGUCUGCCAUGUCAGUGCCUUACAAAUGUUGUGCAUCAGGAGAUCUGCACCGCUUACCUGAAGAGGAUAUUAUAAACCGUGUCACUUUGUUUGUUUGUUUGUUUGUUUGUUUUUUCUUGUUAAGAGGUCCUCCCCAAAUGUCACUCUUCCCAGCCUCUAGUUGACCUCUCUACCAACUUUUGCAUUAUCUUUCUCUGUGCCUCUCGUGUCACUCUACUUCUCACACAUCUUUUGCGUGGGGGUGUGUGUGUCCGCGUCCGGUGGUGGGCAGUGUGGGGGCAGCAGCCGUGUGGAGGCGGCUUUUGUGGUGCCCGUGUCUAGACGCGUAUGAAUGUUUGAAUCUGUGUGUGUGUUUGCGUGUGGGAGCGGGAGAGCAGAUAAGGCAGCCUUUGAUUUGGUGGGGGGAGGCGUGGAGACGAUCAUGCUGAAGAAGCGGGGGAGGGGCAGCAUGGAAUGGAAGGAAGGGGGUGGGGAGCUAAAGGUGUGUGUGUGUGUGUGUGUGCGUGAGUGUGUAUGUGUCUGUGUCUGAGCGUGUGCGAGAGAGUGAGAGAGAGAGACAGAAAGAGAGUGUGAGUGCAAGCAGGCAAGAGAGAAAGGAAGGCAAAGAGGGAGGGCUAAACUAGAGCUAUUGAUGGGGAAAGAGAAGGGAGGGGUUGAGAGGGAGGGAGAGAGAGAGAGAGAGAGAGAGAGAGAGAGAGCGCAAGCGACAAAGGGGAGGGGUGUGUGGGCUGAGGCUGUUUUCAAUGAGGAAGCAGCCGAGCCAUUUUCACCGUUGAGUAACAGCACGCUGCUCGCCGCCAAGAGAGCGAGGGAGAGAGAGAAAGAAAGUGCUCCUUCUGGAUUUUUCUUUUUCCGUUUUUUUUCCUUCCAUUUUUCACAAAAAUACCACAACCUGGGCUAUCUUUUUGGCCCUCCUUCUUCCUCCCCCCACCCCCACCCCUUCGCUCACUCUCUCUCCCUCUCCCUGCGUGUGUUGGUGUGAGUGAAGGCAGACCUGGGGUGGACACACAAUGGGGCGAAGUGCCUGUGGCAACUGGGCCGUUGUGCUGCCGAGAGGGGGAGGGGGCGGAGAGAAGACCGGCACACAGAGGAGCUAACGCAGCCAGCCAGCCUGCCGGCUCAAGGCCUCCCCUCCUCCUCCUCCUCCUCCUUCACUGCUGCUUGGGCUCACUCGCUGUCGCUAGCUCGGUUCUUUUCUCGCUCGCGCUGUCCGGCCGAGGCCGCCCAGCUCUCGGGCUUCCUUCAAACGUUUUCUCUCGGAAAGGGGAAAUUCUCUCCUUCAGCAUUGCACCAUGGAUUAACAUCAGUGUGUGUGUGUGUGCGCGUGUUUGUGUGUCGCCUCCAUGGAUUUCUUUGGGAUAUACGAGUCCAUGCCGGAGAUUUUGAGGUGGAACCCUUCCUGUGUUUGGGACUAGCAAGAAGGGAUACCAAACUUUUUUUGGUUUCAUUUUCUUCCUUUAUUUUCUUUAUUUUUUUACCUUUUGCCUUUCAGUUUUGUUUCCUCUCACAGAGGGGCUCAUAAAUGGAUUACAAGAUGCAUUCCAAAUCAAAUGAUCUGCUGGAUUUUCAGACACUGGAUGCCCUUUUGGAAAAAAUUGCACAUUAUUCUGUGGCCGUUAAAAGGUAAAGUCUUGCGAAAUGCCCGAAAUAGAAGCAGUUGUUUAACAUCUUUUAACAUUUGUGUAAAUAUCCCAACAUGAAUUUAGUUUACUAAUUCAAAACAAAGCCCUUGGGUUUGAAUGGGUAACUUAAGGACAUACUCUGGUGAAAACACUGCAUUUGAAAGAAACCUAUUUUUUUUCAGUCUUCCGACAUCAGCAAGCAGCAGUCUAUAUGUUUUAUAUUUUCCUCUGCUGUAUUUUUAAACCAAAAGGAGACUGUAGAGCCCUGUGAGGGUUGCAUUGUUAGCAGAAAAGCUAAAAAGGCCGGAAUAGCCAACCUCCUGGUGGGAGGGGUGUGUGUGCGGGGGGAGGGGGGAUUUUAGAGGAAGAGGGGGUUGGUGUAUUUGUUGUGGCAGCAGGCAAGUUUUUGGAAACCUGUCCUCACUGGGCAAGGCUCACUAGACUGUUCUGUGUAUUCUGAGAAUUCUUUUCCAGUAAAUCAAGCCCGGUCUGGUCAUGUCUGACUAUUUGGCCAUGACAACGGUACAAAGUUAUUGAACACGCUGUUCUCUGUCUCUCUGUCUCCAUCUUUAACUUGUUGUUGUUUAAGGACUUUCACCAACAAUGUUGAUAUGAGUACAGUGUGUUUCGGCUGAUGACAGAUGUCUGUCAAGCUAGUCAAUGAUAGUAUAUAUGCAUGCAGCUGAGUGACCUCAUAAGACCCAGAGCAUAGGUGCUAGGUUAGGUCGUGAAGUCGAUUCCUCAGCCUGAUGGUGUUUGUCUGGCUGUAUUGCAAAACCAUUUUUUAAACAUCUAGCCACGUAAGAGCACCCAGUGACCCCUUGAACAUGACUCUGCAAGAGCCUGGCUUGAUUCUACAUGUCUAGUACUGACUGUUAGCCCUGGGUAGUCAUUCGUAAGGAGAAAUAGGUCAGUCUGGGGCUCUUCAUUUGAAGAAGUCAAGCUGACUGACCUUUCACAUGGUCCAGUGCUGUUAACCACAAUCACCUUUAAUUCAGCAUAGACAUGCCUCAGGGUGAGUCUGUCUGUGAGCAAUUCACUGAUCUGGAGUGAUCUUUCUCCUCCUCCAGACGCAUGGAAACAAUCGAGACUCCCAAUUUCUGAGCAGCAGGUUGGGCAAGAUGCCCCAUGUUAAAAAUGUCAAAAUGCCCCUGUUCUCAUUCUCUGAACUGGGUAUUUAGAGUUAUCUGGGGGAUGGAGAAACCUUGUCUUCUCCCUUCACUGCACUGAGCUCCAUGUUGUCUUCUCGUAGGAGGAUUUCGUUCGUCUCCCUAGAGGAGCAGACUUGCCGUGGCUCCACUGUGAAAGAGGAGAGGUAGGGAUGGAUGAAAGGAGGUGGGGAGUGGUGGUCUAGUUCUAUGCAGGCGCAGUGGCAUUCAUUAUUAAUGAUUUAGCUUUCAAGCAAACAACCAGUAGCGCUCACGCUUCACCACCAGUGCCUACAGGGGCCUCUCUUCUCACGCCGCUGGAAAGGUUCAUUGUUUCAUUUUUGUUUGUUGGUUUGUUGGUUUGUUUGUUGGUUUGUUUGUUUGUUUUUUUGUUUUGUUCCUCUUCUCUCCCUCUGUGCGUCACAUGUUGGGUUUGGUCUGCUUGCAGAACCCGAUUUCCUAGUGCGGCAGCCUCGCGGUACAACUACAAACCAUUUCCUCCCCAGCCUAGCAUUCCACAGAACUACAUAAUGAUCUAUGUCCUGGUCAAAGGUCAAACGCUAUUCCAGAGAGGCCGGGGCAGGAUGGAAAGGCAGAGGCAGGAAGUCGAUCACCUUUCUCAGAAGUGUGUUUGCAGGUUUACUACAGUGGGGCGAGGUGAAUGGAGGCAGGAGGGGAUCUGAUAGGGCUGAUAAGGUCAGAGCAGUUUGCUCCGUAAUCUUUAGUCACAGAUGGGUGUUUUACACCCACACUGGUAGGUCUAUUAGCAGGUCCUCUGAGCAAUCCAUUAGUCAUACAAGAGGAAUUUGAAGUGUGAUUCUGGCUUAAACAUUACACCAACACAAAACAGAAGUGACUGGAGUACGUGUGUGAGGGAGAGUGAUCUCUGGCUUCACAAGGCUAACAUCUUUAGCUAUGAUCAGACCAGUGCAUUUGACACCAGUUGGUCUAUCACAUCCUUAGCUAUGAUCAGACCAGUGCAUUUGACACCAGUUGGUCUAUCACAUCCUUAGCUAUGAUCAGACCAGUGCAUUUGACACCAGUUGGUCUAUCACAUCUUUAGCUAUGAUCAGACCAGUGCAUUUGACACCAGUUGGUCUAUCACAAGGCUAACAUCUUUAGCUAUGAUCAGACCAGUGCAUUUGACACCAGUUGGUCUAUCACAUGGUUGCAGUGAGGUUGCACUGCCAGUCUUCAUUGUAUGUUUGACUCUGAUGAGCCAAAUAUCAUUCAUACAACACACACGCAAAGCAAUAAUAAUAGAAGUACUUGUUGGAACACAUGUAUUACUCAUAGUUAACUCAUAGUUACUCAUAAUAACAGCCUCUUAUGAGCAUUAAAGAUCCCUUCAGAUCAUAUUUUAAGCAGUAGCCUCCUUCACGUCCUUAUGACAUAUUUAGAUUAAAAUCUUUGAAUAUUAAAACUACAUUGAUUUUAAACACAUUGAAGUCUAUCUUUACUUAUUUAAACAACUUCUCCCACUGUACUAGUGUGUAUCUAUUCUUUUCAUCACUCCUUUAAUUCAGAAUCAUUUCAAGUAAUUUCCAGUAUUACAGGUUGUCAUCUGCAACAUUCUCAGCUGACCUUGAAGGCAGCCGCAUCAAGUGUUAAGCAGCACAGGAGCCAGUCUGAAGGCAUGACCUCAGGAACAGGUCUGGGUGUGCCCCGAAUUCGCAUUGAGCUACCUCUUUGAAGUUUCAACCGAAUGUGAAAUGACAAAAAAAAAUCACAUGAUGUCAGAACGAUUAACCCUCUGGAGGAAAUGGCCACUAGGUCUAGGUGAUGGACCUAUUUUUUUAGCCCACAUUAAACUUGAGGACAAGAUGGUGCUGACAGGAAGGUGAGCCAGUAUGUGCUAUUAAUCAGUAUUAUGCUCACAUAGGUGAUACAAAUGAUCAGCUUGAUCAUGUCUAAGAAUCCUACAUGUACAAAAGUUAUAAACUGAUUAGAUAUUCCAGUCAGUUUGAGGUCAGACUUUAUUUUACUGUGGGCUCUACAGUGUGCUUUCUGACCUGGCCAGUGAGUCACAUAAACUUUUGUUGUGGUGUGUGUUCACACGGUGAUAGAUCUGGUCCUGUGAGCUCUGCAGGCUGGUGAGAAGCCUGAUGGAAGGAAAAGAGUUUGUUACAUUUCUCCAGGAAUUUCCCCUGACCAUUAUUGAUUCUCAUCAUUCAUCGUAUUCAUGGUUUGGAACAUCAAGCACAACUGAGCAAAAAUUCAUAUCUAGCCCUUCAUUAGUGUCAACAUCAACCUGAAAAUCUCCAUCUGAAUCAGCAUCUGCUUGUCAAAUUGAAAUGUUUCUGUAAUGCUUUCAGAGGUUGUUGUUGACAAUUCAAACUUGUCACGCCAAUGAAAAGUAACAUCUUGCAUGUCAGUGUACUUGCAAUGUCAUUGGACGUUUCACUGUCAGUGUAGCUGUCCUUGGCUUCUACAAGAAAUUUCAUCUUGUCUUGUUGACAAGAUGAUGAUGGCCAGCAGGUCAAGCUAGUUUUUAAAAAUAUUACACUCAUCUCAUGAACUCCCGAGACUAUAUGAUGAUAAGACUUAAACCAUGGAGCCCCUAAAAUCGAGCUAAAUAGUACUUCAAAUUAAGAACAAAACACUGUCUUAUCAAAGUUGGCCAUUAUCCAACCUUACCGUACUUAUUUGAACAGUAGGUCACCUGUGUUAUUUCAUCCAAAGAUUCAUCCUAAAACCAGUGCAUUUGUACUAGUACUUGGUCAAAGAGAAAAUUACAUAGCGUAGCUAUGUCAGUUAUCGGACAGUGUCAAACAUCGGCCAUUCUGCUAAGUUUAAUAAUGGAUUAACAAUCGAUAUGCUCAGUUUAAUAAUGGGUUAACAUGACAACGCGAACGUUUGCCGAUAACACACGCCGUACGAUAAUUAACACCGUUACGAUAUAUUUCCACGGAAGUGAUGUCAUUAUUGCACAAACUGGUCAGUUAGUCACUUCUUUAUUAAAUUUGUAGGAACAAGAUCUUAUCUUGUGUGCACAAGAUAAUACCUUAAGUACACAAGAGCUUGUUCAUAAGAAUUCAUGUCAUGGGAGCAAGGUCUUGAUGUUUGUGCAUAAAAUCUGAUGGGAGCUGGUUCUUGUUUUCAUACCUUAUCUUGAAAAUGUUUGAUAAUACCUUACUAGUACCAUUUAUCCUGUUAGAUUCCGAUUGUAAUACUUACCUCAAAGAGAGCUGUUUAAUUUGGCAAAAGUGACAGGUCUAGCGUCCUCGCUGGCUCGCUGCAGUGCAGUGUGUAGAUCCGGCCGUUCCCAUGUGCUUCAAUGACAAAAUAGCCUAUUUUCCAUGUCACUUUUCUCAUCGAAACUGUUCGUCCAUCUACAGUGUCUAAUUCAAACAGUUCAUUUCCCCUAUGCUGAUGUUUUCCCUAGAAAUCAGUUUUUAAAACACUAUUCUACUAUAUCGUAAGGAGGCGUAGAUACACUUGGGAAUUAAGUGAUUGACGGCCUUCGCUGGUAGAGACCGGCUGCUGCAUGGCAUCGCUGCCAACAUCUUACAUUAAGUGUUUUCGUUUCCGUUGAAAAAAAACCUUAACAUGGCUUUUUGUUCUAAAAUAGAGAUCAGUGAUUUUGAAUGAAUUUUCUCUUACUUGUUAUAAACACUUCCACCUGUCAAAAACAUCAAAACCGAAAUCCUAUGAGUAUGGACCUUAUCUUACAUUAAGCGUUUUCCUCUGCAUUGACGCUCAUUAUGGAGAAAGCUUAACGUUCCAAAAAAGGUGAUUACCAAAUUGGUGUGACAUCUCACGUCAUAAACGCAAUCUCUUAUCACAAAAGCAAAACUGAAAUCCAAGGAAUCAGGCCUACUUUAUGUUUAGCACUGUCCUCUCCAGUGCCACCCGUAGGCAAAGGAAAGGCUUAAUGUGUCUUAAUGUUCCAUAACGGCAAUGAAUGAUCACUAAAUAUCUCUUGGACAUCUGUUGUUAUAGACAGUUCCACCUGUUUUAAGUAGGCUACAUUAAGCCACAUUGAGGUUUUUUCUUAUAAUUGCAGAAAAGCCUUAAAGUUCCCCAUCACAACAGUAAGCCUACCAACGAAUUUCAGAUUUAAAGACCUCACUGGAUUACUGCAAGUCAAAGACCCCUUUUCUAAAUGGUACUUUAGGAACUUUGGGACUGAUGGGACAUUGGGCUCUGGGAAUAGUUCAUAACGUUGUAUUUGCUUAUUUUGUUGGUGUCUGUCUCCCUUGUCUUCCAGUUUGCUUGUCAGAUGCAAUGUAAUUUUAUUUAUAUUGAUAUAUGGUGGUCUACGCAGCUAUUAGUAUCAUUUGAUAUAUGAUAUAUAUAUAUAUAUAUAUAUAUAUAUAUAUAUAAUUUAAACUCAAAGUGAGGCAAAGAGAGGAUUUCUGGUUGUCUUGGUUGUUUUCAGCCAUUUUAGCAGGUCCAGCUGGCAGUGUCUGUUAACAGCAGAUACAAGAUCCACCUUUUACCUUAGAUAUUGCGUUUGUACCUUUUCCUUAGAUUUCAAGUAAGACAGUUGUUACCGCCUAAUAAAGAGAAUUUGAUUCAUCUGAUCAUUUCUACUACUGUAACAUAGGGUAGGUUACUGUGACCAAUGAUUGUAAAAAGCAAAGAAAAUGUAUAUCUUGAUGCUCACCUUUUUACACGCCGUUACUGCAAGUUCAAUGAAGACAGUCUGUGGACCUUGGUAUUGGACAAGGUGGCGGGCCCACCACAUUAGUAGGCGUACCUGACAUCUCAUCUCUGCUGCGCAAACUCUGGCUCUAAAUUUGGCAACAUGGCCGAUGAAUUUUGUCCUCAUUUCUAUGAAACAGUAGGGCAUGGAGCCACAGCAUCCAAAUGAUUUACUGUCAUUGGUGCUUACGGCGGUUCUUAUCGCAGUUUAGGUUCAGCUAUACCAGCACAAGCGUGGAUAAAUGCUAAACUCUGACUCUGACCCUAAACUCUUCCUCUCAGACUGUGGCAUAUUUAGUUCAGCUCGAGUCAUGAUGACAGAAAUAGAGCCUUUGGUCAACAAGAAAGGUAAAAUCAAUGAAUAAAAAAAUAGCACCACCACUGAAAUUUCGCAGUUUAUUAUUCAAGAGGAAAUGUACCGAUACAUUUGUUAGCAAGCUAAAGAUAUUAUUGUUUAAUACUACAGGGCUAAUCUAUGGGGCAAAUAACGCCAGACAGUAGUUAAGUCACUGAGUACUGCAUAAGACCAGUGAUGUAGUGGGAAUUCUUAAGCAUUGAGAUACUAAUGUUGAGUCUAAACAGUUCUCGUGUGCAUUUCAAUGUCCAAAUCUGACUAAACACAGUGUUUGUACAGGGAAAACAUACUUUCUAAGCGAUAUGCACUACAACCCUGUUCAAGACACGAUUAACAUUUUUUCAGUUUAGUAGCAUACCAGUUUAAAGGCUAGCCUAAAACCUCAAUCCCAGACCUAGCGUCAGCCUCUCAUCUCAUCUGUCAUCCGUCAACGUGUUUAGUAUUAACCUUUACCUUUUAGUAUGUGUUUAGUCUUUACCUUCACCUUUACCUUUAGUAUGAAAGGUUCUUUUACCACGUGUUGAAACACUUAAAUAGCUCUGUUUGGGUCGCUUCAAAAAUGAUGGACUUUCCAGUAUCACGUUCAUGUUACAUCCCCACAUGAAAACAUGACCUAAACCAGCUUUUUUCUUCUUUUUUUUUUUUUUUUUUUUUUUAAAAGUGGCAUUGCACCAUAAAUCAGUGUAGGCCUAC